GGGCAUGCGCAGCUAACACAUGCAGUCGAACGGUAGCACAGAGAGCUUGCUCUCGGGUGACGAGUGGCGGACGGGUGAGUAAUGUCUGGGAAACUGCCUGAUGGAGGGGGAUAACUACUGGAAACGGUAGCUAAUACCGCAUAACGUCGCAAGACCAAAGAGGGGGACCUUCGGGCCUCUUGCCAUCAGAUGUGCCCAGAUGGGAUUAGCUAGUAGGUGGGGUAACGGCUCACCUAGGCGACGAUCCCUAGCUGGUCUGAGAGGAUGACCAGCCACACUGGAACUGAGACACGGUCCAGACUCCUACGGGAGGCAGCAGUGGGGAAUAUUGCACAAUGGGCGCAAGCCUGAUGCAGCCAUGCCGCGUGUAUGAAGAAGGCCUUCGGGUUGUAAAGUACUUUCAGCGGGGAGGAAGGUGUUGUGGUUAAUAACCGCAGCAAUUGACGUUACCCGCAGAAGAAGCACCGGCUAACUCCGUGCCAGCAGCCGCGGUAAUACGGAGGGUGCAAGCGUUAAUCGGAAUUACUGGGCGUAAAGCGCACGCAGGCGGUCUGUCAAGUCGGAUGUGAAAUCCCCGGGCUCAACCUGGGAACUGCAUUCGAAACUGGCAGGCUGGAGUCUUGUAGAGGGGGGUAGAAUUCCAGGUGUAGCGGUGAAAUGCGUAGAGAUCUGGAGGAAUACCGGUGGCGAAGGCGGCCCC
rnacentral:rRNA from 1 species